rnacentral:snRNA from 1 species
AUGCCCGCUUUGGCCACACAGAGUAAUAUUGGAACAAUCCAUAGAAGAUUAGUGUGGCCCCAUGCAAGCAUGACAUGAAAAUUCCUGAAAUGUUCCAAUGAUUA